ACUGAAACAUCUAAGUACCCGGAGGAAGAGAAAUCAAACGAGAUGCCCACAGUAGCGGCGAGCGAAGAGGGCAGAGCCCAAACCGAGAAGCUCCGGCUUUUCGGGGUUGAGGACCGGCAGAAUCGAAGUCAGGCCUAGUUGAAUUACCUGGAAAGGUAAGCGAGAGAGGGUAAAAGCCCCGUAGACGAAAGGCAGAGCAGAGAGGCCGAGAUCCAGAGUACCACGAAGCACGAGGAAUUUUGUGGGAAGCAGGGGGGACCACCCUCCAAGGCUAAAAACUACUUGGCGACCGAUAGCGCAUAGUACCGUGAGGGAAAGGUGAAAAGAACCCCGGGAGGGGAGUGAAAUAGUACCUGAAACCGUAUGUCUACAAGCAGUCGAAGCGAAAGCGACGGCGUGCCUAUUGAAGAAUGAACCAACGAGUUAUCUGCACUAGCGAGGUUAAGUGGAAGACACGGAGCCGCAGCGAAAGCGAGUCUUAAGAGGGCGCUAGUUAGUGUAGGUAGACCCGAAACCGCAGUGAUCUACCCAUGUCCAGGUUGAAGCGCAGGUAAAAUUGCGUGGAGGACCGAACCGGUGAGCGUUGAAAAGCUUUCGGAUGAGAUGUGGGUAGGGGUGAAAUUCCAAUCGAACGCGGAGAUAGCUGGUUCUCCCCGAAAUAGCUUUAGGGCUAGCCUGAGGUAGUAAGUAUAGGCGGUAGAGCACUGAUCGGGCUAGGGGCCGUAAAGGUUACCGAACCCUGUCAAACUCCGAAUGGAUAUACUGUAGAGCCUUGGAGUCAGACUACGAGUGAUAAGAUCCGUGGUCAAAAGGGAAACAGCCCAGACCACCAGCUAAGGUCCCCAAUGUCGUACUAAGUGGAAAAGGAUGUGGGGUUUCAUAAACAACCAGGAUGUUGGCUCAGAAGCAGCCACCAUUUAAAGAGUGCGUAAUAGCUCACUGGUCGAGAGACCCUGCGCCGAAGAUUCCCGGGGCUAAAGUACGAAACCGAAGCUGUGGCUGUAUACGUAAAGUAUACGGGGUAGGGGAGCGUUCCCAUAGGGUAGAAGUCGAACUGGAAGGUUCGGUGGACUUGUGGGAAGUGAGAAUGUUGGUAUGAGUAGCGAAAAGAAAGGUGAGAAUCCUUUCCACCGAAAGCAUAAGGAUUCCUGAGCAACGAUCGUCGUCUCAGGGUAAGUCGGGACCUAAUCCGAGGCAGAGAGCGUAGGAGAUGGACAACUGGUUGAUAUUCCAGUACCGGUAGUAAUUGUUUGAGCAAUGGAGUGACACAGAAGGGCAGGCAAGCAUGCGAAUGGAAGAGCAUGUGUAAGCGUGUAGGGUGGUGCAUAGGCAAAUCCGUGCACUGAAAGCCUGAGGCGUGAUGCGGAGUGAGCAGAGAUGCGAGCGAAGUUGUUGACCCCACACUGUCGAGAAAAGCUUCUAGUGAGAGAGCUACCGCCCGUACCGUAAACCGACACAGGUAUGCGGGGAGAGAAUCCUAAGGUGCGCGGGAGAACCCUCGUUAAGGAACUCGGCAAAAUGUACCCGUAACUUCGGGAUAAGGGUAGCCACUGUUGUGAAGUCCCAUGCGGAUGGAGCAUAGAGUGGUCGCAGAGAAGAGGCCCAAGCGACUGUUUACCAUAAACACAGGUGCCUGCUAAAGCGAAAGCUGACGUAUAGGUGCUGACACCUGCCCAGUGCCGGAAGGUUAAGGAAGGAUGUUCGGAGUAAUCCAAAGCAUUCGACUGAAGCCCCGGUGAACGGCGGCCGUAACUAUAACGGUCCUAAGGUAGCGAAAUUCCUUGUCGGGUAAGUUCCGACCCGCACGAAAGGUGUAACGAUUUGGGCACUGUCUCAACGAGGGACCCGGUGAAAUUGAAAUACCUGUGAAGAUGCAGGUUACCCGCGACUGGACAGAAAGACCCCAUGGAGCUUUACUGUAACCUGACAUUGGGUUUUGAUACAUUACGUACAGGAUAGGUGGGAGGCUUGGAAAGCUGGACGCUAGUCUGGCUGGAGCCGACGUUGGGAUACCACCCUUGAUGUAUUGAAAUUCUAACCGCGAGAGUAACGAAAUCCGGGACAGUGUCAGGCGGGCAGUUUGACUGGGGCGGUCGCCUCCGAAAGAGUAACGGAGGCGCCCAAAGGUUCCCUCAGCGCGGCCGGAAAUCGCGCGAAGAGUGUAAAGGCAGAAGGGAGCUUGACUG
rnacentral:rRNA from 1 species